ACCCACAUUAAAAUAUGGUUUCAAUGACCAUAGUUAUAGUACAUAAUUAGAGCCUAUAGGGAAUUUGAAUGAAAACAUGCCAGUUAGGAAUAUAGUGCUGCUUCCCCUUUAAGAGAACAACUCGCGCACGUAAAAACCGGAGAGCAACGGCAGAGAGAGAAAGCGGAAAGAUCAAAGAUAUUAAUGAGGGAAAUAAUUAAUUAACAAGUUGAUUUUAAGAAGCCAGGAAAGAAGAAAGACAAUACUUACCUGAUCGCGAACCUGAAGGAAACAUAAUUAAAUUAGAAAACAGCGGUUUUGGUCAGGUUUUUUAUUUAAGCACGAAAAACUCCUGUGUGACGAACAAUGAGAGGACUCACGAUACCGAGAGUUUAGAUGGCGAGCCAACCCAGACCAGAGCUUUGAUCCUCAUUCGACGACGAAAGAGACCGAUUACACGCGCUGGAUUGUCGGUAAACUCACUGGAUCACGGAUUGAGCAGGACAACAACCUUUCACCUAUUUCUUCCAUUUUUUUCCCGGGAACAUUUUUUUUCUUCCACAACUAUUUUUUUUUUCCCUUCAUUUUUGAAUUGAACUGAACUACAUCACACAACUGAACCGUGUUGAACUAAAAUACAUUACACAGCAUUUGAACUGAACUCAACUACAUCACACAACUGAAUUGAAUUUAAGUGUUAUAGAUAUUUUUAUUGUAUUGUGUGUGUGUGUGUGUUAUGACAUAAUAUGUGAUUGUUUAUUUUGUUUAUUUUGAGUUUUUUUUUU